UACGUAGGGGGCAAGCGUUGUCCGGAAUUAUUGGGCGUAAAGAGCGUGUAGGCGGCCAGAUAAGUCCGCUGUGAAAUCUCGAGGCUCAACUUCGAGCUGUCGGUGGAAACUGUCUGGCUAGAGUCCGGAAGAGGAGAAUGGAAUUCCUGGUGUAGCGGUGAAAUGCGCAGAUAUCAGGAGGAACACCAAUUGCGAAGGCAGCUCGCUGGGACGUUACUGACGCUGAGACGCGAAAGCGUGGGGAGCAAACAGG
rnacentral:rRNA from 1 species